GGCCAGAUAGCUCAGUCGGUAGAGCAGGGGAUUGAAAAUCCCCGUGUCGGUGGUUCGAUUCCACCUCUGGCCACCA
rnacentral:tRNA from 4 species